rnacentral:rRNA from 1 species
GUGGGGAAUAUUGGACAAUGGGCGAAAGCCUGAUCCAGCCAUGCCGCGUGUGUGAAGAAGGUCUUCGGAUUGUAAAGCACUUUAAGUUGGGAGGAAGGGUAGUAACCUAAUACGUUGCUACUUUGACGUUACCGACAGAAUAAGCACCGGCUAACUUCGUGCCAGCAGCCGCGGUAAUACGAAGGGUGCAAGCGUUAAUCGGAAUUACUGGGCGUAAAGCGCGCGUAGGUGGUUCAGUAAGUUGGAAGUGGAAGCCCCGGGCUCAACCUGUGAACUGCUUUCAAAACUGCUGAGCUAGAGUACGGUAGAGGGUGGUGGAAUUUCCUGUGUAGCAGUGAAAUGCGUAGAUAUAGGAAGGAACACCAGUGGCGAAGGCGACCACCUGGACUGAUACUGACACUGAGGUGCGAAAGCGUGGGGAGCAAACAGGAUUAGAUACCCGUGUAGUCC